rnacentral:rRNA from 1 species
UCGUAGGGUGCGAGCGUUGCCCGGAUUUAUUGGGCGUAAAGGGCGCGUAGGCGGCCACGCACGUCCGUUGUGAAAUCGCCCGGCUCAACUGGGCGGGGUCAGCGGAUACGGUGUGGGCUCGAGCAAGCUAGGGGGCAAUGGAAUUCCCGGUGUGAGUGGUUGGGAAUGCGUAGAUAUCGGGAGGAACACCAGUGGCGAAGGCGGUUGCCUGG